GCCGCGUGAGGGAUGACGGCCUUCGGGUUGUAAACCUUCUUUCGCCAGGGACGAAGCGUGAGUGACGGUACCUGGAGAAGAAGCACCGGCCAACUACGUGCCAGCAGCCGCGGUAAUACGUAGGGUGCGAGCGUUGUCCGGAAUUACUGGGCGUAAAGAGCUCGUAGGCGGUUUGUCGCGUCGUCUGUGAAAUCCUGCAACUCAAUUGCAGGCGUGCAGGCGAUACGGGCAGACUUGAGUACUACAGGGGAGACUGGAAUUCCUGGUGUAGCGGUGAAAUGCGCAGAUAUCAGGAGGAACACCGGUGGCGAAGGCGGGUCUCUGGGUAGUAACUGACGCUGAGGAGCGAAAGCGUGGGGAGCGAACAGGAUUAGAUACCCUGGUAGUCCACGCCGUAAACGGUGGGUACUAGGUGUGGGGUCCAUUUCACGGAUUCUGUGCCGUAGCUAACGCAUUAAGUACCCCGCCUGGGGAGUACGGCCGCAAGGC
rnacentral:rRNA from 1 species